rnacentral:rRNA from 1 species
UACGGAGGGUGCAAGCGUUAUCCGGAUUCACUGGGUUUAAAGGGAGCGUAGGUGGGUUGGUAAGUCAGUGGUGAAAUCCCCGAGCUUAACUUGGGAACUGCCAUUGAUACUAUUAAUCUUGAAUACUGUGGAGGUCAGCGGAAUAUGUCAUGUAGCGGUGAAAUGCUUAGAUAUGACAUAGAACACCAAUUGCGAAGGCAGCUGGCUACACAAAUAUUGACACUGAGGCACGAAAGCGUGGGGAUCAAACAGG